rnacentral:rRNA from 1 species
CGGACGGGUGAGUAACGCGUGGGUAACCUGCCUUGUACAGGGGGAUAACAGUCAGAAAUGACUGCUAAUACCGCAUAAGCGCACAGGACCGCAUGGUCCGGUGUGAAAAACUCCGGUGGUAUAAGAUGGACCCGCGUUGGAUUAGCUAGUUGGUGAGGUAACGGCCCACCAAGGCGACGAUCCAUAGCCGGCCUGAGAGGGUGAACGGCCACAUUGGGACUGAGACACGGCCCAG